GUAAUGUGGCAAGUCAAGACUGUGAGUCAAUUAGUGAUGUGGACUUUGUACCCUAUGGUAAGUUCUUAAAUUAUAUUAAUACUCUUGGCUUGCAAACAUGUUUAGAAGAGUAGUUUGUAUGGACAUUUGGCAUCUUUAGCAUUCUCAUCUAUGCGUGUGUGUGUGUGUGUGUGUGUGUGUGUGUGUGUGUGUGUGUGUGUGCGCGCGCGCGCGCGUGCACACGUGUGCCUGUGUAAUCCAGAGAUCCAUAUUAGAUUUCCUUCUCAGUCACUCUCCGGAUUAUUCUUUGAGAUAAAGUUCUCACUGAACCUGGAGCUCACCAACCUGGGUAUACUUGCCAGCGAGCUCCCAGGAUCCCCUUGACUCCAUCACCCUAGCAGUCAGACUGUAGAUGCGAGCCACUACAUCUGAUUUAAAACAAAACCAAAAACAAAGAAAACCAUGGUUCUAGAGAUCAAAUUAAACAAAUUUACUGAUUGAGCCAUAUCUCCAGCUUUUAUCACACAGUUCUAUUAAUAAAAUAAAAUUACAGAGCUAUUAGAAAAAAGAAAAUAGAAAACCACAGACUGCCAAUAAUUGCUUAUAUAACCAGAGUAUAUAUCUUUCAGGGUAUAGAGGAUGAAUAUACUCUGGUGUACAGUCUUGUAGACCUUGGGGGGUUUUUACUUUGAAUCAUUCUAGAAUAACAGUACUGUCAAUAAGAAAAUCAGACCCCUAAAAGUUCUGCUUACUGACAGUCAUACAGUGAGAAUGGUGUAGAGCCCGGGAGGCCUUUUCCAUGCCACAACCUCCUUCGGAUAGACUCCAUGUUACUGAGCAUCAAGGAUCUCCGGUUUCCACAGAAGCUUUUAUUCUUUUGAGUCUUAAUUUAGAAAAAGCAGAGGGCCACAUUUUACCUCAUGGUAUGAUUAAAUUAUGUUUGUAAAGAAGAUGACUUCUACGAUUGACAGUUUGUCAUGAGGUUAAAUUUCAGUAAUAUAGAUGUGUAACAUCAUUAGAGCUUUUCAGCUACUAUAUGUUUAACAAUCUGCAUUUCACAAUAUGCAAUUUAAGAAACUGCAUUGUCCUAACUGCUGUAUUAACUCAUUUCAUUCCUAAUACAGCCAUGUAAAAUAAGUACUACUCUUACAUGCACACAUGUGACUCUCUCAGGUGAGGAAGAUGAGUGUCACUGAAACUCAUUGGUGACUUUCCAGUGACCGCCCAAUCACGGAGUGCUGGACAGGGUUGAAUCAUGGCAACUCUCUCUGAUAGGUUUCCUCAGCACGACGCAGUUGGUGCAGAUGCUGCUGUCAUCUCACAGAAGGCAGUUCCAGGCAUUACAUUCGUUAUUUAGGAUGCUUUUUAAAUUAUUAAAUUUAUCAUGGACUGCAGAUUUUGUGUUAGGAAGCAUCCAACUGAAAUACUCUUAUUCUUAAGAGCAUAAAUUUUUGUCCAGUGAUCUGUCUAAC
rnacentral:lncRNA from 1 species